rnacentral:rRNA from 1 species
AUGAAAGCACUCUACGCCGUUAUGUACAACACAUCAUGUGAGGUGGCUGAAAAUGUGUUAAAACAACAUGGUUUUGAUGCUCGUCGUGUCCUUCAAAAAUCGUGGCAUGAUGUGACCGAGUCAUACCUAGUGGAGGCAAAGUGGCACCAUGGAAACCACAAACCAACACUUCAAGGGUACCUCAAUAAUGGAUCAGUUACGUCCACUGGGCCUCUGCUGCUACAACAUGUGUUUCCCCUACUCGGCAUGGAAGGAAAACUCACCUCAGAAUCUCCUGAUAAAGUUGGAAGAUACACGAGAUUAGUUCAUUCUGUGUCAUUAAUAGUUCGACUUUGCAACGACUCUGCGACACACUCUGCCGAGCUAGAGAGAGGGGAUGUACCAUCUUCGAUAGCUAUCCACAUGUCAGAGAAUAACUCUGGUGAGAAAGAUUUCCGUGAUGCCAUGGAAGACCUUAUAAUGGAUGCUUGGAAGUCAAUUAACAUAGACGCCUUCGAACAUUAUAAAUUUUCUAGACAUUUUGCCAAGACUUGUGUAAAUUUGGCCCGAAUUUCGCAUUGUGUUUACCGAGAUGGGGAUGGUUUUGGGGAACCGGAUUAUCAGAAGAAAAGGCAAAUCAGAGAAUUGUUCUUGGCGCCUAUCAACAAUGAGAAACAAUAA